AUUGACAGAUUGAUAGCUCUUUCUUGAUUCCAUGGGUGGUGGUGCAUGGCCGUUCUUAGUUGGUGGGUUGCCUUGUCAGGUUGAUUCCGGUAACGAACGAGACCUCGGCCUGCUAACUAGCUUCGGGGGGCUUUUGCCCCGCCCACGCUUCUUAGAGGGACUGCUGGCGUUCCAGCCAGCGGAAGCGCGAGGCGAUAACAGGUCUGUGAUGCCCUUAGAUGUUCUGGGCCGCACGCGCGCUACACUGGCGCGGGCAACGAGCUUUCCGUCCCGCCGAGAGGCGCGACGACUCUCCCAACCCGCGCCGUGACGGGGAUAGAUCCUUGGAAUUUUUGAUCUUCAACGAGGAAUGCCUAGUAGGCGCAAGUCAUCAGCUUGCGUCGAUUACGUCCCUGCCCUUUGUACACACCGCCCGUCG
rnacentral:rRNA from 1 species